GCGGGAGUGGUGGAAUCGGCAGACACCCAGGACUUAAAAUCCUGUGUCAUACCAAUGGCGUGCGGGUUCAAGUCCCGCCUCCCGCACCA
rnacentral:tRNA from 5 species